rnacentral:lncRNA from 1 species
UAGAGCUGGACUUUUCCCAAAGCCACCGUAUAAACAGGAGUCUCCUUCCGGGAACCCGACCUAGCCAGCCACAGGGGAUCCAAACAGGGGCACUUCCGGUCCUCCGGAAAACAAAUUCCUCACCCCACCCUUGGCCGUUUUGUUUAGGCCCACAAGGGCAAAAGUACAGACACCCUCACACACACAUGCACACAGACACACACACAGAUACACACAGACACUCAUACACAGACACUCACACACACACACACACACAGACAUGCACACACACUCACACACACUGUGCAAGUAGACAGAAGUUAAAACAACAACUCACGUGUUCCCGAGGCCUGAUCACCUCCAGGAAGCCUGGCAGCCUGUCAUCACCGGGUCCUGCAGGACCCCCACCUGUCUCCCCUUUCUCCCUCCUCUGGCCCCCAACAAGGUUUGCUUCCCCUGCCCCGCCCACAGGCAGGCAGGCAGGGAUGGUGGCCCAGGUGGGGACAGACUGAGGUUCUGCUCCAACAGAAAACAGGUAAGAGGCAGCCCCGCCCCUGCCCCCAGGUCAGGUCUCCUCCUCCUGUCCCCAGAGGCUCCCAGGACAAAGUCCACCACGGUCAUGUGUCACCUGGGACAGGGCAGGGCUGGAGGCUGGAUGGUGAAGCCGACCUGCGAAAGCACCUGGGAGCCUGCGGGAAGCCAGACUCCAAUCUGGGGUGUGGGGAAUCACCCACCUCCAGGAAGUGUCUCAGCUUUGAUAUCCGUCUCUCACUUCAAAGCUGAGGUUCUCCCCUUGGCUCCUUCCUGGGAGCAGCGCGGAUCCUUGUUGCCCUCCAAGCCUGGAAGGAAAGGAUGUAUUUUGGUCAAUGAAGUUAUUUCUGCCCCCAAAGAGCUAGGAGACAGCUCUUGUGGGUCCCAGCACCCAGGGCCAGAGGCAAGCAGGGCAGCCAGUCCUGGGCUCGGACACCUGCAUCCUGGCUGGACGCCACAGCGGGGGAGGCGCUGUGUUUCUCUAACGCCCCCUCCCAGGAGGCCCCACGCCCAACCUGGGGCUUGA